rnacentral:rRNA from 1 species
UGUUUAUCAAAAACAUGUCCUUUAGUAAUUAUUUAUAUAAGGUCUGACCUGCCCAAUGAUUUUAAUGGCCGCAGUAUUUUAACUGUGCAAAGGUAGCAUAAUUAUUUGUCUUUUAAUUGAAGUCUAGUAUGAACGGUCGGACGAGGUAUAAACUUUCUUUAAUUUAAUUAUUGAAUUUAAUUUUUUAGUUAAAAAGCUAAAAUUUUUUUGUAGGACGAGAAGACCCUAUAGAUCUUUAUAAUUUAAAAUUAAGUAUUAAAUUUAGUUAAUUAAGUUUUAAUUAUUUUUUAAUUAUUUGGUUGGGGUGACUUUAGAAUUUAAAAAACUUCUAAUUUUAAAAUUCAUUAAUUAGUGUUAUAUGAUCCAUUAUUAUUGAUUAAAAGAUUAAGUUACCUUAGGGAUAACAGCGUAAUUUUUUUGUAGAGUUCAUAUCGAUAAAAAAGCUUGCGACCUCGAUGUUGGAUUAAAAUUAGAUUUAGGCGUAGCCGUCUAA